UGGGGAAUUUUGGACAAUGGGCGAAAGCCUGAUCCAGCAAUGCCGUGUGUGUGAAGAAGGCCUUCGGGUUGUAAAGCACUUUUGUCCGGAAAGAAAUCCUUGGCUCUAAUACAGUCGGGGGAUGACGGUACCGGAAGAAUAAGCACCGGCUAACUACGUGCCAGCAGCCGCGGUAAUACGUAGGGUGCAAGCGUUAAUCGGAAUUACUGGGCGUAAAGCGUGCGCAGGCGGUUUGCUAAGACCGAUGUGAAAUCCCCGGGCUCAACCUGGGAACUGCAUUGGUGACUGGCAGGCUAGAGUAUGGCAGAGGGGGGUAGAAUUCCACGUGUAGCAGUGAAAUGCGUAGAGAUGUGGAGGAAUACCGAUGGCGAAGGCAGCCCCCUGGGCCAAUACUGACGCUCAUGCACGAAAGCGUGGGGAGCAAAACAGGAUUAGAUACCCUGGUAGUCCACGCCCUAAACGAUGUCAACUAGUUGUUGGGGAUUCAUUUCCUUAGUAACGUAGCUAACGCGUGAAGUUGACCGCCUGGGGAGUACGGUCGCAAGAUUAAAACUCAAAUGAAUUGACGGGGUCAUAGCUGUUUCCU
rnacentral:rRNA from 1 species